UACGAAGGGGGCUAGCGUUGUUCGGAAUUACUGGGCGUAAAGCGCGCGUAGGCGGGCGUCUAAGUCAGGGGUGAAAUCCCAGGGCUCAACCCUGGAACUGCCUUUGAUACUGGAUGCCUGGAGUUCGGGAGAGGUGAGUGGAAUUCCGAGUGUAGAGGUGAAAUUCGUAGAUAUUCGGAGGAACACCAGAAGCGAAGGCGGCUCACUGGCCCGAUACUGACGCUGAGGCGCGAAAGCGUGGGGAGCAAACAGG
rnacentral:rRNA from 1 species